rnacentral:rRNA from 1 species
GCUAGUAAUGGCAGGUCAGCAUACUGCCGUGAAUAGUUCCCGGGCCUUGUACACACCGCCCGUCACACCAUGAGAGUUGGAAAUACCCGAAGCCUGUGAGCUAACAGUAAUGAGGCAGCAGUCGAAGGUAGAGCCAAUGAUUGGGGUGAAGUCGUAACAAGGUAUC